rnacentral:rRNA from 1 species
AUUGAACGCUGGCGGCAGGCCUAACACAUGCAAGUCGAACGAGUGGCGGACGGGUGAGUAAUGUCUGGGAAACUGCCUGAUGGAGGGGGAUAACUACUGGAAACGGUAGCUAAUACCGCAUACCAUCAGAUGUGCCCAUAUGGGAUUAGCUAGUUGGUGGGGUAACGGCCCCCCAAGGCGACGAUCCCUAGCUGGUCUGAGGGGAUGACCAGCCACCAUGAAACUGAGCACCGGCCCACACUCUUACGGGGGGCAGCAGUGGGGAAUAUUGCACAAUGGGCGAAAGCCGGAUGCAGCCAGGCGGGGUGUAUGAAGAGGGCCUUCGGGUUGUAAAUUACUUUCAGCGGGGAGGCGUAACCGGCAGAAGAAGCACCGGUUAACUCCGUGCAAGCAGCGGCGGUAUAC